GCCCGGAAGCGUGCUCGCCGCGGAGCGUCGGGGGCCCCGCCGCCCGGCGCGGGGCGCUCACUGCUUGCCGGAGCCGCCCAGGUUCACGGACAUGCAGCGACACUGCUUCACCUUCUGGAUCUUCUUGAGUCGGAAGGGCGGGUCGAGCCCGGGGCACUCGAGCUCCACCAGCGCCGAGGUGACGCGCUGCGGCUUGCAGAAGGCGCAUGACUGGAAGGACGCCUCCUCCUGGCGCACGUGGCGCGGGAUGUAGAACGAGUUGCACUGGCCGUAGCAGAAGCGGUUGAGCAGCGUGCGGCUGCGGCAGCCCUCCUCGCUCACCGUCUGCCGCAGCGGCUGCGUCUUGCACCAGUCACUCUUGAGGUACUUGCGCUCGGUGACCACCAGGGCCUCCUGGCUGGAGGCCAGCACCUCCUUGACCUGGUGCUGCCAUCUCUCCGAGUGGUUGCCGCCGCCGUCCUUGUAGGGCGAGGGGAUGGCGCCCGCCGGGCGGUUCUUCCGGGCCUCGGCUGCUCUCACCAGCGCGGCCGCCAGGCACAGGCACAAGGAGAGCUUCCAGAACAUCCUGCAACGAGAGGACAGUCAGAGGGACCGGCAGGCAACCCGUCCUCCUGCCGCGUUGGAAGGCGCUGCGGUCGGGUCGCUGGAGGGGAGAGGGCGUGCAGCAGGCCCGGCGGGCCGGGCAGGGGCGACGCCGCGACGCACAAACUCGUGUCCGUCUGCCGCAGAGGGAUUCGGAAGCGAAGGUUGUCAGAAAUAGCCCAAGCCAGUUUGCCGAAGCGCAAGAGUGGUUAAUGUAAGUCACUGCAUCCUCACUGAGUUAUUUGCGCAGCGCUGCCCUAUGUGUAUCAAGUCUAUCUCAUUUGAUUCUCAAAACAACUGUAGCUUGGAGGUGGCCUUAUUGUCCCUACUUUAUAAUGAAGGAAAUCGAGGCCCACAGAAGUUGAAUACUUUCCCCAACGUCACACAACGACUAAGAAUGUACCAGGAUUUCGAGCCAGGCAUCUGCCUCAGGAGCCACCGAAAGUAACCGUUAGACGUGGAUAUGAUCAAGAAAAUUAACAGAAAGGAAAGGAAAGAUGAGGAAACUGAGGCAUGGAGAGGCUUCACAACUUACCAAGAUCACAUGGCCAGUAUGCGAAGUAUUUGAAUCCUGGCUCCAUGAUCCUGGCUCCAGAUAUCAAUCUCCUGAAGUGUGGAAAUCAUCUCUUUCAAGAUGAGACCAAGGAGGAAGGAGACAAGUUCAACUUUCCCUUGUGUCAGGUAAUACCGCCAUGGUUAUGGGCCUACUUUGCACUUUUCACCUCUAGGAGAAGCAGCGGUGGACAUACAUUCAUUGUGGGUUUGGUAUGGUCCACAGUCACUCCUGUAUAUUGGUGAAUUAAUUAACUUCCGUAAUUGAUGACUCUAGAAAGAGCUCAUUGACUUUCCUUUUGUCAGAGUUACAUGUAUAUGUAAUUUUAGAUUCUGUUCCUUGAAGAGGUUCCUUGAAUUAAGUUUUAAGCCCCACCAAACUUGGAUCUUUCCUUGAUUUUCUUUUAUAUGUCCUUUGGUGUUUGCUUUAUGUUAAUAUUUUAUUCUAUAUAGAUAGAGAAUAUCCUUAUGUUAAAUGUACAGUUGUGAAAUCUUUAUUAUACUUUUAAAAUUUUAGUUCAGGAUAAUGUUUUAUUCAGGGUUAUGCAUAGUCUGUAUGUGGUCUAAUGCCACACUGUAUUUACUUAUGAAAUGAUAGUGUCAAAUUACAAUAUAAAUCACUAAAAUUGAAUGUACUUUUGAUUACCUAAAUUCACUAUACUAUUUUUUCAUUGUACUUUAUAAAUUUAUGUGAUAAAGGCUUGAGAUAUGAAUACUUUACAGAUGGCUUGAUGGACUAUAUUCUAACUAAUUAUAAUAAGUGUCGUCAAUUAAAGCAAUGUUUUAGGGAGCACAUACCUAUCAUUUACCUGUUGGGCAAGUCACUUAAAAUAUGCAUACUAAGAAGUUAUUCCUAUUUAUUGUUUCCUCCAUAAACUUAAUGUCACUGAAUUACUUUACAGUGUAGGGAAUAGUCAUCCUGAACCAUGAACACUCAUGUAAGAUUUUUUAUUUGCAGUAGUUUGCAUCAAAG